rnacentral:tRNA from 13 species
GCAUCCGUAGCUCAGCUGGAUAGAGUACUCGGCUACGAACCGAGCGGUCGGAGGUUCAAAUCCUCCCGGAUGCACCA